AUGAGAGGUGUUGAUAUCCUUUGCGUCCAAGAAACCAAAUGGAGAGGACAGAAGGCGAAGGAGGUGGAGGAUACCGGCUUCAAGUUGUGGUACACGGGGACGGCUGCAAACAGAAAUGGCGUAGGCAUCUUGAUCAACAAGAGCCUCAAGUAUGGAGUGGUAGACGCCAAGAUACGUGGGGACCGGAUUAUCCUGGUCAAGCUGGUAGUUGAGGACUUGGUUCUCAAUGUUAUCAGCGUGUAUGCCCCGCAAGUAGGCCACAAUGAGAACACCAAGAGGGAGUUCUGGGAAGGCUUGGAAGACAUGGUUAGGAGUGUACCGAUUGGUGAGAAGCUCUUCAUAGGAGGAGACCUCAAUGGCCACGUGGGUACAUCUAACACAUGUUUUGAAGGGGCGCAUGGGGGCUUUGGCUAUGGCAUCAGGAAUCAAGGAGAAGAUGUCUUAAGCUUUGCUCUAGCCAUCAACAUGAUUGUAGCUAACACCCUCUUUAGAAAGAGAGAAUCACAUCUGGUGACUUUUAGUAGUGGCCAACACUCUAGCCAGAUUGAUUUCAUCCUCUCGAGAAGAGAAGAUAGGCGUGCGUGCCUAGACUGUAAGGUGAUACCUGGAGAGAGUGUUGUAUCCCAUCAUAAGCUGGUGAUUACUGACUUCCGCUUUCGGAUUCGUGUCCAGCGGGAUAAGCGUGCCAAAGUCGCUAGAACGAAGUGGUGGAAGCUUAAGGGGGAGGUAGCUCAGGUGUUCAAGGAGAGGGUAAUUAAGGAGGGCCCUUGGGAGGAAGGAGGGGAUGCAGACAAUGUGUGGAUGAAGAUGGCGACUUGCAUCCGUAAGGUGGCCUCGGAGGAGUUUGGAGUGUCCAGGGGAAGGAGAAGCGAAGAUAAGGAUACCUGGUGGUGGAAUGAUGAUGUCCAGAAGGCGAUUAAAGAGAAGAAAGAUUGCUUCAGAUGCCUAUACCUGGAUAGGAGUGCAGACAACAUAGAGAAGUACAAGAUGGCGAAGAAGGCCGCAAAGCAAGCUGUUGGUGAAGCAAGGGGUCGGGCAUAUGAGGACCUCUACCAACGGUUAGGCACGAAGGAAGGUGAAAGGGACAUCUAUAAGAUGGCUAAGAUCCGGGAGAGGAAGACGAGGGAUAUUGGCCAAGUCAAAUGCAUCAAGGACGGAGCAGGCCAACUCUUGGUGAAGGACGAGGAGAUUAAGCAUAGAUGGUGGGAGUACUUCGACAAGCUGUUCAAUGGGGAGAAUGAGAGUUCUACCAUUGAACUGGAUGACUCCUUUGAUGAGACCAGCAUGCGUUUUGUGCGGCGCAUCCAGGAGUCUGAGGUGAAGCAGGCUUUAAAAAGGAUGAAAGGAGGCAAGGCGAUGGGCCCUGAUUGUAUCCCCAUUGAGGUGUGGAAAGGUCUCGGGGACAUAGCGAUAGUAUGGCUAACCAAGCUUUUCAACCUCAUUUUUCGGGCAAACAAGAUGCCAGAAGAAUGGAGACGGAGUAUAUUAGUACCAAUCUUCAAGAACAAGAGGGAUGUUCAGAGUUGUACUAAUUACCGUGGAAUUAAGCUGAUGAGCCAUACAAUGAAGCUAUGGGAGAGAGUCAUUGAGCACCGCUUAAGAAGGAUGACAAGCGUGACCAAAAAUCAGUUUGGUUUCAUGCCUGGGAGGUCGACCAUGAAAGCCAUUUUCUUGGUACGACAACUUAUGGAGAGAUAUAGGGAGCAAAAGAAGGACUUGCAUAUGGUGUUCAUUGACUUGGAAAAGGCCUAUGAUAAGAUACCGCGAAAUGUCAUGUGGUGGGCCUUGGAGAAACACAAAGUUCCAGCAAAGUACAUUACCCUCAUCAAGGACAUGUACGAUAAUGUUGUGACAAGUGUUCGAAUAAGUGAUGUCGACAUUGAUGACUUCCCGAUUAAGAUAGUACUGCAUCAGGGGUCAGCUUUGAGCCCUUAUCUUUUUGCAUUGGUGAUGGAUGAGGUCACAAGGGAUAUACAAGGAGAUAUCCCAUGGUGUAUGCUCUUUGCGGAUGAUGUGGUGCUAGUUGACGAUAGUCGAAUGGGGAUAAAUGGGAAGUUAGAGUUAUGGAGACAAACCUUGGAAUAG
rnacentral:rRNA from 1 species